GGGGGGGUGCGGAGAGGAAUGAAAAUCCGGCUUCUGAUAUUAGGAACUGGACUGAGAAAGAGGACAAGAUGGAAAUAUGUGGAAAGAAGACGAGGCACACAAUUCAGUAGGAGGGAUCGGGGAAGGGAGUUUCCCGGACUUGAUUCUCAGGGAUUUGGAGACAUGGUACAAUACUUUCUAAGCAGUGUUCCUUGCCGAGGAAUCUCCUUUCCCUGCUGGUUUGACAAUAAAUGGAUUGGUGAACCUUUAGAAGAAAAGGACAAGCUGGUCCUAAAAUUCAUAUGAGUUGCAAGAGACUACAAAAUAGCCAAAACAUCUUGAACAAAAUGAAAGUUGGAGGACUCACACCUUGAUUGUAAAGCUUACCAUAAAGCUAUAAUAAUCAAACCACAGCACUGGCAUAAGGAUAGGCAUAUAUAGAUCAAUGAAAUUGAAUGGAGAAUCUAGAAAUAUAUGAUACAUUUGCGGUCAGUUAAUUUUUGACAAGGGUCCUGUGAUGGUUAAUCUUAUGUUUCAACUUGACUAGGCUAUGAAGCCCAGUUGUUUGGUCAAACCCUAGUCUAGAUGCUGCUGGGAAGGUAUUGUGGAUGUGAGUAACAUUUACAAUAGGUGAUCUAAGUAAAGCAGAUUACCCUCAAUAGGUGAGUGGGUCUCAUUCAAACAGUGGAAGGCCUUGAUAGCAAAGGCACGUUUACAGAAGAAGAAGCAAUUCUGCUUCAAGACGGCAACAUAGGAAAACUUGCUAGCUUGCUCUGCAAAGUUCAGGCUCUAGAUUACAAAAUCAACUUUUAUCUGAAUUUCCACCUGUCGGCCUGCCCUACGAUUUCAGACAGGCCUGGCCUGACAAUCACGGUAGCUAAUUCCUUAAGAUAAAUCUCUCUAUAAUGUAUGCUAAUGGUUCUCUGGAGAAUGCUGAUAUAUACAGGUGCCAAGACCACUCAAUGUGAAAGAACACUCUUUUUUAACAAAGAUUGCUGGUACACUUGAUAUUAUCUUUUGCAUGAUAUCCACAGGAAAAGAAUGAAGCUGGACUGCUAUCUUGCACAGUGUGUAGACCUCAAAAUGAAGCACAGAUCUAAAUGUGGGAGCUAAAACUAUAACAUUCUUGGAAGAAAACAUGAGAUUAAAUCUUCAUGGCCUUGAAUUAAGCAUUGGUUUCUUAGAUAUGACACCAAAAUCACAAAAAGACAAAGAAAAAAACAGAUACAACUUUUGCGCUUGCAAGGAAACCAUCAAGAGAAGGAAAAGACAAUCCAUAGAAUGGGAGAAAUAAUUUGCAAAUCAUAUAGCUGUUAAGGGACUUAACAUGAGAAUGUAUAAAGAACUAUACAACUCUAUAGCCAAAGGAAAAAAAAACAAAACCCCAAACUAAUAAAUGAGCAGAAUAUUUGAAUAGACACUCCACCAAAGAAGAUAUAUGAAUACAGAUAGCUUUAAGUACAUUAAAAGAUGAUCAACAUCAUUAAUUAUUAGGGAAAUCUAUAAUGAGGUACCAUUUCAUAGCCACAAGGAUGACUAUAAUAAAAAAGACAAUAGCAAGUCCUGGUGGAAACAUUGGUGUAGAAAUUGGAACCCUCAAACACUAUGGAUGGGAAUGUAAAAUGGAGCCGUCAAUUUGGAAAACAGUUUGACAGUUCUUUAAAAGUUAAACAUAGAAUUACUAUAUGACUCAGCAAUUCUACUGAAGUAUAUCCUUGAGAGAAAUGGAAACGUAUAUCUACACAAAACUUGUACGUGAAUGGUCAUAGCAACAUUAUUCAUAAUAGCCAAAAAGAAUUAACAAUCCAAACAUCCAUCAACUGAUGAAUAGAUAAAAUGUUGCUUGUUUACACAAUGAGAUAUUAUUUGGCAAUUAAAAAAAAAUGAAAUACUGACACAGUGUACAACAUGGAAAAACCUUUAAAACAUUAUCAGUGAAAGAAACCUAAUGUUAAAAGUCACAUAUUUUUUGGUUACAUGGUUAUGAAAUUUCCAGAAUCAGCAAAUUCAGAGAGGCCAAACGUGGACUAGUGGUUGCCAGGAGCCUGGAGGUGGAGGGCUGAGUGAGAGAGGAGGGGAGGGAAUGUGGAGUGACUGGUAAUGGGUAUGGGAUUUCUUUGGGGGAGUGAAAUGUUCUGGAAUGUGAUUGUGGUGAUGGAUGUGAAACUCUUGUAAAUAUACUAAACACUCAACUGUACACUUUGAAAGACUGAACUUAAUAGUAUAUGAGUUAUAUCUCAAUAAAGCAGAUACUUUAAAAAUG